AGAGAAGACAUCUGCAGGUGUUGUUGAAGCAGCAUGAACUUCAGCUGGUCCAUGGCCAGCUGGGAUAGGUUCAGGGUCUGCUGAAGGUCAUGACGGCAGUAGCAGAUGACAGGGUGGUGAGCGCAGAACUGGACAAUGCCCUGCAUAUUAUCUUAAAUCACAGCUGCACUGUGGACAUGCAGCAGUGUUUUACUAACCAGAUCGAGCAGCUCAGAGGGGAGAAUCAACAGCUGAAGGCUGCCUUGAGACAGGCAGAGUUCAGACUCAGCACAGUGGAGAGAGAGAAGGCCUGUCAGCACGCUGCACUCUCAGAUAAGAAAUGCAAUGUUGAUCAGCUUACUUUAAAGAAACAGCAGAUGAUCGCUGAGCUGGGAGUGCGGCGUAUGCAGCUUACCCAGCUGAAAGCAGAGGGACAGGAAGCUUUGAAAGAGCUGCUCAGCAGUAAGACCUGUGAGCUGGAACAAGAAAACCUGAAACUUAAGAGCCAGCUGAAGACUACGGGCUGAGCUGGACCAGACCAACAGUUCCUUGAGAACACUGGAGACAGCUGGUGGUCAUGGAGAAACACCGUCAGGCAUUACUGGUUAAGAGACAGACACAAGAGCUGCUGUCAGAGAGGGAGAGCAGGAGAAGACUGGAGUCUGAAGUGGAGGCUCUGUGCUCACAAGAGCGAGAGCUCAAAGGCAAAGCAGAGAGACUGGAAGCAGCUUUAUACAAGGUGUCUGAUGGUCUUCUUGUUAAACAAAUGCUUAUUACAAUACAUCAGAACCGAACAAAUAAUGGAACUGAUGUUCUAUUUGACCAACAUUGUAAACCAUAACAUUAUGUUAUAUAAUGUACAUUAUAUGUCUGACAGUUUUGCUGAAUGCCAAGAUUUUAUUCAGAAAUAGGAACAGGAGUUUAUGAGGCUGAAACUGCAGCAUGCAUUAGAUCUAAAGGUAAAAGUGUACACACAUUUACUGUAGUAGUAGUUAUUUUAUAUCACCUUCUGGUAAAACUUUAUUAUUCUCUUGCUGUUAUGCUAUUUCCAUACAGUAUGUAUGUUUUUUUUUGGUUAGGAAUUGCAAAGCCAGAACUGGCGUAACGUUUCCAGAUCUCCAGUCAGCAGCUGUAUCCUACAGACUCAUCUUCCCCUCGCUCAGCAUAACGUUAAUGGCCUAAUGGAGGUAUGAAAAAAGCCCUUCUAACCACCCACACACUUAAAUAUCUGAAUUGACAGGAUGUGCUGGAACGGAUUUCCCUCUGGAAUCAAUCUCCAGAUGAGAGUCUCUGACCCCCUUGUGGAGUUGAAGAGGUUUUUAAGAGAGCUGCGUGGUGGGAUUGCUGAAGAGCAAGGACCACACACUACCUUAAGCUUCAGGAGGAGACCCGAGGAAGACCACAAAUCUAGACAGUGAGAGUCUCAUUCAACUGAAAAAAAAAUAUAUAGAGAGAGAAAAGCACCUUAGAGAAGACUGUAUCAUCAAGGAAUGGAGGAGUCAAAGAAAUUACAAGCAUUUUUUAUUUUUGCAUACCUAUAGGAACUAAAGGGGCUGAAAGUACUAAAAAAAUAUAUAUAGAGAAAAGCACCUUAGGUAAGACUGUAUCAUCAAGGAAUGGAGGAGUCAAAGAAAUUACAAGCAUUUUUUAUUUUUGCAUACCUAUAGGAACUAAAGGGGCUGAAAGUACCACAAGGCCAACUGGAAGAAUAAACAGUUACAGGUAAAUAGAAGAAAUGCA
ensembl:lncRNA